rnacentral:rRNA from 1 species
GACGAACGCUGGCGGCGUGCUUAACACAUGCAAGUCGAACGGAAAGGCCCUGCUUUUGUGGGGUGCUCGAGUGGCGAACGGGUGAGUAACACGUGAGUAACCUGCCCUUGACUUUGGGAUAACUUCAGGAAACUGGGGCUAAUACCGGAUAGGAGCUCCUGCUGCAUGGUGGGGGUUGGAAAGUUUCGGCGGUUGGGGAUGGACUCGCGGCUUAUCAGCUUGUUGGUGGGGUAGUGGCUUACCAAGGCUUUGACGGGUAGCCGGCCUGAGAGGGUGACCGGCCACAUUGGGACUGAGAGACGGCCCAGACUCCUACGGGAGGCAGCAGUGGGGAAUAUUGCACAGUGGGCGGAAGCCUGAUGCAGCAACGCCGCGUGCGGGAUGACGGCCUUCGGGUUGUAAACCGCUGUCGCCUGUGACGAAGCGUGAGUGACGGUAAUGGGUAAAGAAGCACCGGCUAACUACGUG